rnacentral:lncRNA from 1 species
CUUCAUCUUCACUAAUGUUUUUUUGGGGAGGAAACUUGGUAAACAAACUCUUUACAGAAGAGGAGCUACAGCAUGUGGGCUAGGCAGAAUGAUAAUGAAUAAUUCAGUAUGAUGGAUGAAUGAAAUGAUGGAUGGGGAGAGCUGAAAUUGUUAGUGAUGUUUUACCUGCCAUUGCCACAUACUUAGAUGUCUCCAGUGCUAAGUGGGAUAGCAAAUGUUGGCAAGCUAUGUUUCCUUGAUCAGGACUCUACAGGUCUAGAACAAAAGCUACAUCGGGUUUUUAUUUUUAUUUUUCCCUUCACCGUGAUGUCUAAUCUCUUCCCAUUCCCUUGCAUUUGACACAAACAAGGAUGUCUUUCAGUUACAGGACACUGGUCUGUGUGCUUGAGCUCUGGGCAUUUUUUCAGUACAUAACAUCAAACAAAAAUGGGUGUACAGCAGUCACAGAAACAUCAAAUACUUUUUUUUUUUUUUUUAAGGUGGUAGAAGAGUUGCAUCCCGUGAAGGCAUUUGUCUGGAAACAAGGAACGUCCACCAUCCUCCAAAUGUCCCAUUGGCCUUCUACUAGGCUGGUAGAACAGGAAAUGCUGGAGCUCACCCCAGGUGCAGCUGCAGUGCUGAAGGUCAAGUGACUUGACAUGCUUGGGCAAAGCAGUGAUUCCUAAAAACCAUUCCCAAAGUUCCUUCAUAUGGUUCUGGAGGGAAGCUUUCGUGAAGAGAAUUCAGGGUUCAGGCCAUUUGAGCAUUUGACCUGUAGUCAAUAAAAGGCUUCCUGACUUUUCUUCA